rnacentral:lncRNA from 1 species
GAGGCAAGGAGAGGGUCCGGGAAGGAAAAGCAAAGGAGGAAUCGGGGAGGAAAAAAUGGAAAUUACGAAAGAGGAGAGAGGAAAAUUGCCGGUGUGGUUUAGGCAAGAAAAAAAAAAAAAAGAGGAAGGAAAAAAAAAAUCGUGAGAGGAGACGAAGCGGGGGCAGCCCCGGCUGGCAGCGGGGAGAGCCGAGCGCAGCCCAGCACCGGAUCCCAGCGGAUCCCCGCGGAUCCCGGCGUCCUUCGCCGCCCCUCUCCCUCUCAGCGGCACCGGCGAGGGCUCCAGGUGCCGGCGGGGGCGUCGCGGGAAGGUGCCGGAGCGCGGUGCCCGCCGCUCAUCCCCUCCUUCUUCCCUCCCUCCCUUCCCUUCCUUCCCUUCCCUCCGCGUCGCGGGGCUGGGGCUCCUCUCCCCUCAGCGCCGCGCUCCCGCCGAGUUUCGCCGCGGAGGGCGGAGGCGGCCCGGGGCAGCCGCCGCCGCCGCUCCCCGCCCUCUCGCUCCAUUGGCCGGGCGGCGGCGGGCAGGGCCGGCCCGCGGCACCUCCGCCCGCGGCGGGGGCGGCUGGGCGGGAGGGGGCGCCCAACGGCCGUGAGGGGCCGCGAGGGGACCGCGAGGGGACGUGGAGGGGCACCUGCCGCCGCCCCGGCCCGCUGAGGGAGGGUUGUGUGUCUUCAGAAGUCUUAGUCUACAGAAGUAGAGAGUGCUCAAGUCUUUUGGGGGGAAAGAAAAAAUACACGAGGAGUAAGUUGAAGAAACAUUUAAAAGGAAGUGGGAGAUUCUGUAAUGUAAUUGGAAUGGAAAUAGCAUUAUGGACGGUGCUUACUUGUCUUUCAGAGGCCAACGGCAUAGAAGGGGUGUUCAUAGAAGAGCACAAAUGAGGUAUGAUAACGGUAAACAGGAAUGUGUUAAACAAUCAUAUCCUGUAACUUUGAAGAAGGAACUGAAGUUAUUCACUUCUGUUUGAAACUCAUAUCAAGUGUUAAAAGAUGUGCACCAUAUACCCCUGUGAUGAAAUCAGUCGACCUGGGAUUUUUGCAGCCAGAUCAACAGUCGUGGAAGUUGCAUAAUUCAUGUGAUUUUGUAGCAUUCCUUUCCUUGUUGUCAUACUUGUCUUUGGUGUUUUUUAACAUCUCCUUGUAAAAUAAACCCAUCUUUCUCUGGAAAAAUCUACUUCCU